AUUGAACGCUGGCGGCAGGCCUAACACAUGCCAGUCGAGCGGAUGAAGGGAGCUUGCUCCUGGAUUCAGCGGCGGACGGGUGAGUAAUGCCUAGGAAUCUGCCUGGUAGUGGGGGAUAACGUCCGGAAACGGGCGCUAAUACCGCAUACGUCCUGAGGGAGAAAGUGGGGGAUCUUCGGACCUCACGCUAUCAGAUGAGCCUAGGUCGGAUUAGCUAGUUGGUGGGGUAAAGGCCUACCAAGGCGACGAUCCGUAACUGGUCUGAGAGGAUGAUCAGUCACACUGGAACUGAGACACGGUCCAGACUCCUACGGGAGUCAGCAGUGGGGAAUAUUGGACAAUGGGCGAAAGCCUGAUCCAGCCAUGCCGCGUGUGUGAAGAAGGUCUUCGGAUUGUAAAGCACUUUAAGUUGGGAGGAAGGGCAGUAAGUUAAUACCUUGCUGUUUUGACGUUACCAACAGAAUAAGCACCGGCUAACUUCGUG
rnacentral:rRNA from 1 species